rnacentral:rRNA from 1 species
CCUACGGGAGGCAGCAGUGAGGAAUAUUGGUCAAUGGACGAGAGCCUGAACCAGCCAAGUAGCGUGAAGGAUGACUGCUCUAUGGUUUGUAAACUUCUUUUAUAUGGGAAUAAAAUGAGGCACGUGUUCGUUUUUGUAUGUACCAUAUGAAUAAGGAUCGGCUAACUCCGUGCCAGCAGCCGCGGUAAUACGGAGGAUGCGAGCGUUAUCCGGAUUUAUUGGGUUUAAAGGGUGCGUAGGUGGAUUAUUAAGUCAGUGGUGAAAGUUUGCGGCUCAACCGUAAAAUUGCAGUUGAAACUGGUAGACUUGAGUACAGUAGAGGUAGGCGGAAUGCGUGGUGUAGCGGUGAAAUGCUUAGAUAUCACGAAGAACUCCGAUUGCGAAGGCAGCUUACUAAACUACAACUGACACUGAAGCACGAAAGUGUGGGGAUCAAACAGGAUUAGAUACCCUGGUAGUC